rnacentral:rRNA from 1 species
GACGAACGCUGGCGGCGUGCUUAACACAUGCAAGUCGAACGGAAAGGCCCUGCUUUUGUGGGGUGCUCGAGUGGCGAACGGGUGAGUAACACGUGAGUAACCUGCCCUUGACUUUGGGAUAACUUCAGGAAACUGGGGCUAAUACCGGAUAGGAGCUCCUGCUGCAUGGUGGGGGUUGGAAAGUUUCGGCGGUUGGGGAUGGACUCGCGGCUUAUCAGCUUGUUGGUGGGGUAGUGGCUUACCAAGGCUUUGACGGGUAGCCGGCCUGAGAGGGUGACCGGCCACAUUGGGACUGAGAUACGGCCCAGACUCCUACGGGAGGCAGCAGUGGGGAAUAUUGCACAAUGGGCGGAAGCCUGAUGCAGCAACGCCGCGUGCGGGAUGACGGCCUUCGGGUUGUAAACCGCUUUCGCCUGUGACGAAGCGUGAGUGACGGUAAUGGGUAAAGAAGCACCGGCUAACUACGUGCCAGCAGCCGCGGUGAUACGUAGGGUGCGAGCGUUGUCCGGAUUUAUUGGGCGUAAAGGGCUCGUAGGUGGUUGAUCGCGUCGGAAGUGUAAUCUUGGGGCUUAACCCUGAGCGUGCUUUCGAUACGGGUUGACUUGAGGAAGGUAGGGGAGAAUGGAAUUCCUGGUGGAGCGGUGGAAUGCGCAUAUAUCAAGAGGAACACCAGUGGCGAAGGCGGUUCUCUGGGCCUUUCCUGACUCUGAGGAGCGAAAGCGUGGGGAGCGAACAGGCUUAAAUACCCUGGUAGUCCCCGCUGUAAACGGUGGGUACUAGGUGUGGGGUCCAUUCCACGGGUUCCGUGCCGUAGCUAACGCUUUAAGUACCCCGCCUGGGGAGUACGGCCGCAAGGCUAAAACUCAAAGGAAUUGACGGGGCCCCGCACAAGCGGCGGAGCAUGCGGAUUAAUUCGAUGCAACGCGUAGAACCUUACCUGGGUUUGACAUGGAUCGGGAGUGCUCAGAGAUGGGUGUGCCUCUUUUGGGGUCGGUUCACAGGUGGUGCAUGGCUGUCGUCAGCUCGUGUCGUGAGAUGUUGGGUUAAGUCCCGCAACGAGCGCAACCCUUGUUCACUGUUGCCAGCACGUUAUGGUGGGGACUCAGUGGAGACCGCCGGGGUCAACUCGGAGGAAGGUGGGGAUGACGUCAAGUCAUCAUGCCCCUUAUGUCCAGGGCUUCACGCAUGCUACAAUGGCUGGUACAGAGAGUGGCGAGCCUGUGAGGGUGAGCGAAUCUCGGAAAGCCGGUCUCAGUUCGGAUUGGGGUCUGCAACUCGACCUCAUGAAGUCGGAGUCGCUAGUAAUCGCAGAUCAGCAACGCUGCGGUGAAUACGUUCCCGGG